rnacentral:rRNA from 1 species
UACAGAGGUCUCAAGCGUUGUUCGGAUUCAUUGGGCGUAAAGGGUGCGUAGGCGGCGCGGUAAGUCGGGUGUGAAAUCUCGGGGCUCAACCCCGGGACGCCGCCCGAGACUGUGUGGCUUGAGGACGGAAGAGGGGAGUGGAAUUCCUGGUGUAGCGGUGAAAUGCGUAGAGAUGUGGAGGAACACCAGUGGCGAAGGCGGCGACCUGGGUAGAUACUGACGCUGAGGUGCGAAAGCGUGGGAGCAACAGG